CUCAUACGGCGUGAUCCAAAGCCCACUGAAGUCAAUGGGAGCCUUUCUAUUGACUUAAUGGGCUUUGGGUCAGGCCCUUAGCAG
rnacentral:pre_miRNA from 1 species